AGCCAGCACUGACACCAUCAUAAUAAGUUAGGGAGACCAAAUCGAACAAUAGAGGCCAAUGAACAGGCCAUUCUUCCCCAUUCUCUUUCAGAAGCACCAAUCCAACACAAAGAAACCAAACCCUUUGUUUUUCACAAUAAGGGACAAAUCGAACCAAUGUUGUAGCUAAGCAGAAAAGAAAUCUAGCCAACUAUUCUAACAGAUGUUCAGUCGAUGAAUCACACAUCACCGGGCUAUUUCUCUCACAUGGAAUGUUUUUUUCUGUUCUUUCAAGAUAAAAUCACAUGACAGAAGACUAAGUCCCAGAAAGGGAGAACUCACUCCGAUUCUGUACAUACUCUGAAUCUUAAUUUAGUUUGUGCAUAUUCCUAGAAUCAAUCCAUAAGUGAAGGCUUACGAUGGUGAGGACGCUUUAUACUUAUCAGGCUACACACAUGGCUAGAGCAAAAUAAAUAUGAAACAGGAGAGAGAAUAGUUGGAGAUAUACUGUGCCACAUGAAGUGGAGGCAGCAAGAGAGGCCCCGAACUAAAAGAAAGUUAACAAAAAAAUAAGAACAAAAUAUAUGAAUGGUGCAUACAAAGGACCACCGAAUAGUAAACUAACAAGCACCAUGACCAAACUAAUAAGCAGUAACCUAGAACAAACUAACAAGCAGUGACCCCUCCCUGCAAAUAAAACCACAUCUGAAUCAACCAUCUAACAAGAAAAUGACCACAAAUGAAUCAUGGACAACCAACAGAAAUCAAAACUUAAAUAUGAUUGUAAUAGUUGGCUUCCUCGCCGCCAUAUGCCCCUGCAACCACGGCCAGCUUUCAUAACCAAUCGGCUGAGGCUGGGGAUAGAUAUAUAGACUGACAGAGGGUGUUCUGCUCACCGAAAUAAACUUGCCUCCCUUUCUUCUUCCUCUGCGGCUCUGUGCAUGUGUUCUUGCUCCACAAGUGCGCCUCGAACCGCCCCGUGCACUCUGAGAGAGAAGGAAGAAGAGGAGAGGGUGAGAGAUGGAGCAGAUCAGAGAGGAGGAGGAGGGAAUGAACUCAC
rnacentral:lncRNA from 1 species